rnacentral:rRNA from 1 species
UACGUAGGGGGCAAGCGUUGUCCGGAUUUAUUGGGCGUAAAGAGCGUGUAGGCGGCCUGACAGGUCUGCUGUGAAAACUCGAGGCUCAACCUCGAGAUGUCGGCGGAAACCGUCUGGCUAGAGUCCGGAAGAGGAGAGUGGAAUUCCUGGUGUAGCGGUGAAAUGCGCAGAUAUCAGGAGGAACACCGAUGGCGAAGGCAGGUCUCUGGGCCACUACUGACGCUGAGAAGCGAAAGCAUGGGGAGCGAACAGG